rnacentral:rRNA from 1 species
UACGUAGGGUGCGAGCGUUGUCCGGAAUUACUGGGCGUAAAGAGCUCGUAGGUGGUUUGUCGCGUUGUUCGUGAAAACCGGGGGCUUAACCCUCGGCGUGCGGGCGAUACGGGCAGACUUGAGUACUGCAGGGGAGACUGGAAUUCCUGGUGUAGCAGUGAAAUGCGUAGAUAUCAAGAGGAACACCAGUGGCGAAGGCGAGUCCCUGGACAACACCUGACACUGAGGCACGAAAGCUAGGGGAGCAAACAGG